GACGAACGCUGGCGGCGUGCCUAAUACAUGCAAGUCGAGCGCAGAAGGUUGGUGCUUGUACCAACGGGAUGAGCAGCGGACGGGUGAGUAACGCGUGGGUAAUCUGCCUUUGAGCGGGGGACAACAUCUGGAAACGAAUGCUAAUACCGCAUAAUAACUUUAAACACAUGGUUUAAGUGUGAAAGAUGCUAUUGCAUCACUUAAUGGUUAUCUCGCGGUUGCUUAGCUAAGUGGUGAGGUAAACGCCCAACAAAGGGAUGGUACAUAACCGACCUUGAGGGGUGGUCGGCCAACAUGGGACUGAGACACGGCCCAAACUCCUACGGGAGGGAGCAGUAGGGGAUCUUCGGGAAUGGACGAAAGUCUGGACGAGCAACGCCGCGUGAGUGAAGAAGGGUUUCGGAUCGUAAAACUCUGUUGGUAGAGAAGAACGUUGGUGGGAGUGGAAAGCGCAUCAAGUGACGGUAACUAACCAGAAAGGGACGGCUAACUACGUG
rnacentral:rRNA from 1 species